UGGGACAGCUCAGUCGGCAGAGCACGAGACUCGUAAUCUCUAGGUCAUGGGUUUAAGCACCACAUUGGGCAAAA